rnacentral:rRNA from 1 species
AAGUCGUAACAAGGUUUCCGUAGGUGAACCUGCGGAGGGAUCAUUACCAAGAGAAAUCUUUCAACACUGAAAGAUCUUUUCCUUUGUGCUGGCUUUGACCGUAUGUAAUUUUGGGACUUUAAAAUGGUUCGCAAGGGCCGGUCCCAAAAACAAUAUAUCAUCCUUAUGAAAUUUUUUCUGAACAAUUAAACAAAUGAUUUUAAUAAUCUGUUUAAAACAACUUUCAACAACGGAUCUCUUGGUUCCGGCAUCGAUGAAGAACGCAGCGAAAUGCGAUAACUAAUGUGAAUUGCAGAAUUCAGUGAAUCAUCGAGUCUUUGAACGCACAUUGCGCCCCCUGGUAUUCCGGGGGGCAUGCCUGUCCGAGCGUCAUUGCUGCCCUCAAGCACGGCUUGUGUGUUGGGCUCCGUCCCCCCGGGGACGGGCCCGAAAGGCAGCGGCGGCACCGAGUCCGGUCCUCGAGCGUAUGGGGCUUUGUCACCCGCUCUGUAGGCCCGGCCGGCGCCAGCCGACAACCCAUCAUCCUUUUCAGGUUGACCUCGGAUCAGGUAGGGAUACCCGCUGAACUUAA